CGCGUAGGCGGUCUCGUAAGUCAGAUGUGAAAGCCCGGGGCUCAACCCCGGAAGUGCAUUUGAAACUAUGAGACUUGAGUAUGGGAGAGGGAAGUGGAAUUCCUGGUGUAGAGGUGAAAUUCGUAGAUAUCAGGAGGAACACCGGUGGCGAAGGCGACUUCCUGGACCAAUACUGACGCUGAGGCGCGAAGGCGUGGGGAGCAAACAGGAUUAGAUACCCUGGUAGUCC
rnacentral:rRNA from 1 species